GGAGAGAUGGCCGAGUGGUUUAUGGCUCCGGUCUUGAAAACCGGCAUAGUUUCUAAAACUAUCGAGGGUUCGAAUCCCUCCCUCUCCU
rnacentral:tRNA from 35 species